UCUUAGUCGGAUACUAAUUCCUCAACAGGUUCUCUCUCACGUGAGCUGCCACUCUUCUACCUAUCCUGCCUCAUCUCUUUCCCAUAAUUCCCACAGAAAACCAUAUGGCAAAUUAGAGCCACUGUUUCCAGAGUAUCUCUUAUCCUGGCUGGUGAGUUCUAAGCAACUAGAAAGAAAAGAAUUAUUUUUAUAAAGAACAGAUUUGUUGCAUUAGUUAUCUAAUUAGUUAACUAAUUUUCCCUUUAAUAUAACCUUUUAACCUUUUAACCUCUUAGGAGUUGUGAGAUAUCAUUUUUUUUUUAUCCACAGAAGUAUUGAAAAAGCAAUUAAAGGCAUUAGUUCAUACUCAAUAUUCAUUAGAUCUACUAACAUGUCACUAAAAGUACAUGCUAUCAUGUAAUAUUUCCAUGGUAAUAAUAUCUGUUCUGAGAUUUUGGUUGGCCUUGCUCCAACAUCUUUAUUCCAAUCAAGCAAGGUCUUAAAAACAGAUUCAGUAUGUCAUUUUCUUCUUUCUUCCUCCUUCCUUCCUUUCUUAAUUUCUUUCUUUCUUAGACAACAUCUCACUAUAUAGUCCUGGUUGGCUUGGAAUUCACUGUGUUGAACUAAGGUAGCUCUACUUGCCUCCGCCUCUGCUCCUCAACAGCUGAAACUAAAGGUAUAUGCCACCACCCAUGGCAGAUCUUUAAAAAUGUUCCACACCUAUGAUUUCCAGCCCUUCUACUGCACUAAUCCCAUUUACCACACUGUGAGUCUGUUAUGCUGUUGUUUAAAGAUUAAAUACAUAUCAGAUCAAUCUAUUGUUGAUUUUAAAUGGGGAUUUUGAUGCAUGUCUCCAGAGGAUCUAUAACUUUAACUUAUAUCUCUUAGUCUAUAACUUUCUUCCUGUGAUCCUCUUAGGUCUUAAAUACAAUGAUUUCCUUUUUAAAUUUUAAUUUAUUAUGAUUUUUGAGAAUUUCAUGUGUGACUACUGUAUUUAUAUCAUUUCCCCCUACUACUUUCUCCACUUCAAAGUCAUUUUAAGGCACUUAGCUUCAUGACUUCUUUAAUUAUUACUGGUGAGAGAGAGAGAGAGUGAGAAAGAGAGAGAGAGAACAACCUGCUGAGUGCAUUUAUUAUUAUUCAUAUGUAUAUGUGUUUAGUAUCACUCUUUAGGGCUGACUACUGGGGUUGGAUAACCUAUCCAGGGACUUGUCGCUAGAGAAGACUGUAACUUUUUAUCUAUGGGUAUAGCCUUGUGAGAUUUCCCACAGCCAUGUUGGGUGUCAACUGGUCUUGUUUAGGAAGCCAUAUUGUUAAAUUUUCAUAAGUGCCACUCCCUGUCUCAUAAUAGCAGACAUACUGGUCCUCUGGCUCCUACAACCUUUCUCCCACCUCUCUUCCCUCAUGAUUUCUAAACCUUAAAUAUAGAGAAUUGUGCUGUAGAUGUAUCAAUUGGUAAUAGGCACACCAUGAUCUCUGCAUGUUGUGGGCUUCUGUAAUGGUCCCCAUCUGCUACAAAAAGAAGCUUAGUCCAAUCAGAUUGCUGUUGUUUACCCCAAGAUAAAAGUGUCAGUAUUGAACCCUUGGGAAUAUCUUGCUGUGCUGUUCACUACUGUGGUUGGUAGGCUUUGCAGCUGGCUAGGACUUUAAUUGCUUUUCUCCCUAGGCAGUUUGAUACUAUAAAAGCUAGUGUUCUAGGAGGUUAGUUCCAGCCUAGUUCAAGUUCUCUGUUUGAUGUAUGUAGUGUCUUCAGCAAUAGAGGCUCACUUCCAAGUUCCAGGAGAAAACCAAAGGCAACAGCAUAGCUUCUAGCUACAUUUUAAAAAGUCUUAACAGUAUCAUGAGAUAUAAACAUAUAGGAUAACAAGUAAACAUAUGUUUGUUUUCUGCCUCUGUAAACAGUACAGAUUAGCAUAUGUAGAUAAAGCCUUAAAUCC
rnacentral:lncRNA from 1 species